UCAGCAGUGCGUCAGCGGGCGUGGCUUAAGCGAUCCGCUUUCAUUCCUCAGCCCUCUGUGUUUUCCAGAGGUGUCCUCUGGUUGGUCGGUUUGAAUAUUUGAGCUCGAGGUGCGGAGCCCGCAAACAGGGAUGAACAACAGCGUGGAGACAUCCUGCAAACAGUGUCUAAGAGCACGCCUGACCUCGUGAGGUGAGCUGAUUUAAACUUAAAGACAACAGUCUCCGCAUGGCAGGUGCAUCCUGUGUGAGGAGAGGAGAUGAGCAUUACAAAGCCAGGCCAUGUCUCUGGCACAGAGUCUGAUGCAUCUGAUAAGGACCUGCAGGAACACUUCGGUUACCAACAGAGCAGGUCAAGCGACACCCAGAUGUCAAGCCACCCUGUCCAUCAGGCAGCGAAUCCUGAAGCGAUCAUGUCAGGCUGUCAUGCAAGCCUGAGAGGGGCUCAACGAUUGCAUGACAGCCCUGAUGGCACUGAUGUGUAUCCCCCGCCCCUCUUGGGUAGAAUUUGAGAAGGCCUGCUUUCCUCCGCUUCAUGAAAUCCAUCUUGAUAGAAGACCGCAGGGAGACCUUGUGGGUGCAGCACAGUGCCAGAAAGAAGUCAGCAAGCAAGUGGAUUACAUUCAUAAAGAGCAGGCUUUGUUAAUGAAAAGGGCAUUACCUCAACUUCUGAGGUGCUUUUUGUUUCUUUUAAUUGAACUUCAGGAAUUUUUUAUGCUUUUGCAUGACCAUUUAAAUUACAAUUCUUACUUCUUCUGAAAUAAUCUUUAAAAGUGUAUUACAAACCACCAACUUGACCACGCACACACAAAGAGCACUUUAGAGUUAAAGCUAAGAAGAUCAAGAUGGAGAAAAGUCUGAAAGGAAGAAUUUUUCAAUCAUCUCGCAACCCCACAGAUUUAUCUUGUGACUAAGUUGAGGUACAAAGUUUGAGAACACUGUACUAAAUCUUAUAAGAGAGAUUUACACAAAUAAUGUUGCUCACGAGGAUCAUUUUUCUGCAGAUUGACAUCUUUCAGUAUGUUUUGUUGAUAAAGCCUCUAUUUCUAUAUUCUUGCAUUUAUUUCAGAAUUUGAAAUAUUGUUAGUUUAUAUAAUUAAAUAAUCUCUGUGUGGUUUUGCGAACAUUAAAAAAACAAAACAGGUUUAUUUUUGUAGCCAAGCAGGUUAAAAAACGUGCUACGUAAGUCACCCGACACCGAUGAACUGCUUAAACAGGUAACGGCAAACAAAUAUCCAUGACGUGACAACACUCGUGAGAAGGCUGAAAGUCAUCUCCAUAUUAGGACUAAUGAAACCCAACUUGUGGCUCUCCUUAAUGAGCUAAAGCACAAACUCUUGGCAUCACGCACGGUGACGGUGUCCUCCGUGAGAGUCAAGGAGACAACCUCAAAUAACACCGACAGGGUGAAGAAGGUAAAGGAGAGGGGCGAAUGAUACGUAAGAAAAGGAGGGAAUGAGAGAGUGAUGGUGUCAAUUGCUCCUGUUUUUUCCCCCUUCACAUUAAGUGUCCUUGACAUGGCUGUAAUGAUACUACUCUACCUCUUUGUCUGUUUUUAGCACUGCAUUUAUCUUAGAUCUACACACGGCACAUGCCAGGUGCUCAUUGCAUUCACGUCAGCCGUUUGUUCUUAACAUGAUACUCACCUGAACUCCCCACUGGACUUUUGCCCUUAACCUGGAAUAUUAUUCUGUCUCCUCAUUAUCAGCACAGAGUACUAAACUUCCAGGUAAAUUAUCAAACUGCUGAAACCACAAUCAAUCUCUCACAUUUAAAGAUUCAUUGUGCUCAAAAAUGCCCUCAUUCAGUCACUCGGCUCCUCUGGGAUGUUGGGACACUUUGAU